rnacentral:rRNA from 1 species
UACGGGGGGGGCAAGCGUUGUUCGGAAUUACUGGGCGUAAAGGGCUCGUAGGUGGCCAACUAAGUCAGACGUGAAAUCCCUCGGCUUAACCGGGGAACUGCGUCUGAUACUGGAUGGCUUGAGUUCGGGAGAGGGAUGCGGAAUUCCAGGUGUAGCGGUGAAAUGCGUAGAUAUCUGGAGGAACACCGGUGGCGAAGGCGGCAUCCUGGACCGACACUGACACUGAGAAGCGAAAGCAUGGGGAGCGAACAGG